AUUGAACGCUGGCGGCAUGCCUUACACAUGCAAGUCGAACGGUAACAGGUCUUCGGAUGCUGACGAGUGGCGAACGGGUGCGUAAUACAUCGGAACGUGCCUAGUAGUGGGGGAUAACUACUCGAAAGAGUGGCUAAUACCGCAUGAGAUCUACGGAUGAAAGCAGGGGAUCGCAAGACCUUGUGCUACUAGAGCGGCCGAUGGCAGAUUAGGUAGUUGGUGGGAUAAAAGCUUACCAAGCCGACGAUCUGUAGCUGGUCUGAGAGGACGAUCAGCCACACUGGGACUGAGACACGGCCCAGACUCCUACGGGAGGCAGCAGUGGGGAAUUUUGGACAAUGGGCGCAAGCCUGAUCCAGCAAUGCCGCGUGCAGGAUGAAGGCCUUCGGGUUGUAAACUGCUUUUGUACGGAACGAAAAGCCCUGGGUUAAUACCCUGGGGUCAUGACGGUACCGUAAGAAUAAGCACCGGCUAACUACGUG
rnacentral:rRNA from 1 species